AAUACAGUAGCCUUCAACCACAGGCUGUUCCUCCAGCAUAAAAACAAGACAAAGUUUCUGCAGAGCUGCUCUAACCCAAUAAUAAAAUUGGACAAUAAGCUGCAUAUCUGCCGGAAACCUGGGACUGGCAAUGGAGAUGAGAAGAGAAUCAGAAGGGAUAUGUCUGAUGACAUAGAAGCUGUGGAAUCCAUUCUUCAGGGUCUAAACUCAAGCCUGGUCCUUAGUUCUCCGUACUGUAUUCUUCCUGACCUCCAGACCUGAGCGUCCUCCCCUUCAAAAGACAAAGCCAUCCAAAGAGUCUGAGCACUCCAAGUGAGCAGCUUGAAGAGUGAGAGACAUGGACAGAGGGAAGGGCAGGUCUGUGCAGCCUGUGGCCAUAAACCCCACCUCUGGCCUUCUCCAGUGAAGCCACACUCAAGAUUUAAGAGAACUUGUGAUCAACUUGGGGUAUUUGCACCCCACGAAAAGGGAGUUUGCAGGAUCCCUAAUAUCACUGCGAGUUGCCACUUUUCCAGUCUUUUUUUGCUGUUCGCUCAUAUCCACAGGGAAAAAAACGAAAUGAGCAGCCCAGUCCCUCAGGCCUUUUUCUUUAAUGUUGCCAUCAAAAAUCAAUAAAAUGCAUCAAGC
rnacentral:lncRNA from 10 species